UACGGAGGGUGCAAGCGUUGUUCGGAAUCGUUGGGCGUAAAGCGCGUGUAGGCGGCUUGGCAAGUCAGUUGUGAAAGCCCGGGGCCCAACCCCGGAACUGCAUCUGAAACUGCCUAGCUAGAGUCCCGGAGAGGAAGGCAGAAUUCCCGGUGUAGGGGUGAAAUCCGUAGAUAUCGGGAGGAAUACCAGCGGCGAAGGCGGCCUUCUGGACGGUGACUGACGCUGAGACGCGAAAGCGUGGGGAGCAAACAGG
rnacentral:rRNA from 1 species